UUAUUUAAUUCUGUUUGGCCAAAACUGUCAAAAGGAAACAACUCGAGAAAAACAUAGAAUAGAUUGCAGCAGAAAUAUUAAGAAAUCGUAAACAAUCAGACAAUUUUUUGCUCUAAAUUCAUUUGAAUACAUAAAAUUCUAGAGAAGUGAGAUGGCGUUUGUUAGCAACAACCUGGACGAACCGACUCACAUCAAAAUGGAGCCAGAAUUGAUUAUUGAUGACCACGAACUGUCGGAUAAUGAUAACACUUCCGAGACAGAUUCAACAGCGGACUUUGAGCCAAUUGAACAGGAAGCCGAAAUGCAAAUCAAGGGUGAACAAGGAGAGGUAUUCGGCAUCAGUGAAACGGACGGAGAGAACGACAAUUCGAAUGAUGGAGGAUUGAUGAAAAGUUCCAUAAGGUUACACUCGGGCGAACGUUCCUAUUCUUGUUUACUUUGUUCUAAACCGUUUAAGAGUCGUGAUGCGCUCAAAAUACAUAUGCUAACUCAUACUGGUGAACGUCCCCAUCUUUGUCCACAUUGUCCGAAGGCGUUUAGGCAUGUUUCAGUGCUCCAAGUACACGUUCGAACUCAUACGGGUGAACGUCCCUAUGAUUGCCCACAUUGUCCGAAAGCGUUUAAACAGCAUAUAGCGCUUAGAAUGCACAUUUUGACUCAUACGGGUGAGCGUCCCUAUUCAUGUCCACAUUGUCCGAAAGCGUUUAAGCAUCCUUCAGCACUCAAAAAUCACAUUGGAACUCAUACGGAUGACCAUCCCCAUCUUUGUCCAGACUGUCCGAAAGCGUUUAUGUCACAUGCAGCGCUCAUAAUUCACAUUCGAACUCAUACGGGUGAAUGUCCCUAUUCUUGUCCACAUUGUCUGAAACCGUUUCACGAUCUUAGAGCACUCAAAAGACACAUUCGAACUCAUACGGAUGAACGUCCCUAUUCUUGUCCACACUGUUCAAACGCGUUCAAGGAAUCAGGUGCACUCAAAAAUCACAUUCGAAUUCAUACGGGGGAACGUCCCUAUCCUUGUCCUCAUUGUUCGAACGCGUUUAAGCAUUCAUAUGCACUCAAAAAUCACAUUCGAAUUCAUACGGGUGAACGUCCUUAUCAUUGUCCCCAUUGUCCGAAAGCGUUUUCGAAUUCUUACUCGCGCAAGCAGCACAUUCGAAUUCAUACGCGUGAAGGUGUAUGUACAACCCUAGGAAAACGCCUGAAUACACAUGGUAAAGAUACGAGCGGUCCGACGCAGGAAUCACAGGUGACCGUAAAGGAAGAGACAAAUGAAUGCUGAUGGAUGGAUGGAUUGUAUAGAUGACCAAUCGAUUUGUCGUUGAAAGCGUUUGGAAAAUAAAGGCACUUCGUAUUUUAAACACGAUGCGAAUAACGCGAAAAACGAACUGGAAAAACCACACGACGAUACCCAAGUUGAAUUACCACUGGUGGGGUCCAACCUUGGAUC